rnacentral:rRNA from 1 species
AGGCAGGCGCGUAAAUUGCCCGAAUCCUGACACAGGGAGGUAGUGACAAGAAAUAACAAUACAGGGCUACUUCUAGUCUUGUAAUUGGAAUGAGUACAACUUACAUCUCUUCACGAGGAUCAAUUGGAGGGCAAGUCUGGUGCCAGCAGCCGCGGUAAUUCCAGCUCCAAUAGCGUAUAUUAAAGUUGUUGCAGUUAAAAAGCUCGUAGUCGGAUUUCGGGUCGGGCCGAGCGGUCUGCCGAUGGGUAUGCACUGUUCGGCGCGGCCUUCUUUCCGGAGAUCGCGGCUACUCUUAACUGAGCGGGCGUGGGAGACGGAUCGUUUACUUUGAAAAAAUCAGAGUGUUUCAAGCAGGCAGCUCGCUCUUGCAUGGAUUAGCAUGGGAUAAUGAAAUAGGACUCUGGUGCUAUUUUGUUGGUUUCGAACACCGGAGUAAUGAUUAACAGGGACAGUCAGGGGCACUCGUAUUCCGUCGAGAGAGGUGAAAUUCUCAGACCAAUGGAAGACGAACCACUGCGAAAGCAUUUGCCAGGGAUGUUUUCACUGAUCAAGAACGAAAGUUAGGGGAUCGAAGACGAUCAGAUACCGUCGUAGUCUUAACCAUAAACCAUGCCGACUAGGGAUUGGAGGGUGUUCGUUUUGACCUCUUCAGCACCUUACGGGAAACUGAAGUCUUUGGGUUCCGGGGGGAGUAUGGUCGCAAGGCUGAAACUUAAAGGAAUUGACGGAAGGGCACCACCAGGAGUGGAGCCUGCGGCUUAAUUUGACUCAACACGGGGAAACUUACCAGGUCCAGACAUUGUUAGGAUUGACAGAUUGAGAGCUCUUUCUUGAUUCGAUGGGUGGUGGUGCAUGGCCGUUCUUAGUUUGGUGGAGUGAUUUGUCUGGUUAAUUCCGAUAACGAACGAGACCGUAGCCUGCUAAAUAGUCCCGCGAACUUCUUGUUGGCGGCCGACUUCUUAAGGACACUUGUGACCAACAAGUGGAAGUUUGCGCAAUAACAGUCUGUGAUGCCUUUAGAUGUUCUGGGCCGCACGCGCGCUACACCUGAAGCACUCAACGAGUUCCACCUCGAACCGAACAGUCCUGGUAGACU